UGAGGAAUCUUCCACAAUGGGCGAAAGCCUGAUGGAGCGACACCGCGUGAAGGAUGAAGCCUUUGUUGGUGUAAACUUCUUUUCUCUCGGAAAAUAAUGAUGGUACGAGAGGAAUAAGGGGCGGCAAACUUCGUGCCAGCAGCCGCGGUAAUACGAAGGCCCCAAGCGUUAUCCGGAAUUACUGGGCGUAAAGCGUCUGUAGGUGGUCUGGCAAGUCUUGUGUGAAACUUCGGAGCUCAACUCCGAAUUGCACAGGAAACUAUCAGACUUGAGUGUGGGAGAGGCAAGCAGAACGGUAUGAGUAGGGGUGCAAUCCGUUGAUACAUACCAGAAUACCAAAAGCGAAGGCAGCUUGCUGGAACACAACUGACACUGAGAGACGAAAGCGUGGGGAGCGAAA
rnacentral:rRNA from 1 species